UCUCCGUAGCUCAAUGGUUAGAGCAUUCGAUUUGGAAUCCUGGGCGGAUCCAGGUACGGGGAGGUCCUUGGUUCGAACCCGGCCGAGCGAA